rnacentral:rRNA from 1 species
CCUACGGGAGGCAGCAGUGGGGAAUAUUGCACAAUGGGGGAAACACUGAUGCAGCGACGCCGCGUGAGUGAGGAAGUAUUUCGGUAUGUAAAGCUCUAUCAGCAGGGAAGAAAAUGACGGUACCUGACUAAGAAGCCACGGCUAACUACGUGCCAGCAGCCGCGGUAAUACGUAGGGGGCAAGCGUUAUCCGGAUUUACUGGGUGUAAAGGGAGCGUAGACGGCUAAUCAAGUCAGAAGUGAAAACCCGGGGCUCAACUUUGGGACUGCUUUUGAAACUGAGUAUCUAGAGUGCAGGAGAGGUAAGCGGAAUUCCUAGGGUAUCGGUGAAAUGCGUAGAGAUUAGGAGGAACACCAGUGGCGAAGGCGGCUUACUGGACUGUAACUGACGUUGAGGCUCGAAAGCGUGGGGAGCAAACAGGAUUAGAUACCCUAGUAGUC